AUUGAACGCUGGCGGCCGGCCUAACACAUGCAAGUCGAACGGGUGGGGGAAGGGUGAGUAAUGUCUGUGAAACUGCGCGAUGGAGGGCGUUAAGUACUGGGAACGGUAGCUAAUAACGCAUACCACCGGCUGGGCCCGGAUGGGUUUAGCUAGUCGGUGGGGUCACGGCUUACCUAGGGGACGAUCCCUAGCUGUGUUGAGAGGAGGACCAGCCACACUGGAACUGAGACACGGUCCAGACGCCUACGGGAGGCAGCAGUGGGGAAUAUUGCACAAUGGGCGCAAGCCUGAUGCAGCCAUGCCGCGUGUGUGAAGAAGGCCGUCGGGUUGUAAAGCACUUUCAGCGAGGAGGCGUUACUCACAGAAGAAGCAUCGGCUAACUCCGUGCCAGCAGCCGCGGUAAUUC
rnacentral:rRNA from 1 species